rnacentral:rRNA from 1 species
GUUUGAUCCUGGCUCAGAUUGAACGCUGGCGGCAUGCCUUACACAUGCAAGUCGAACGGCAGCACGGGAGCAAUCCUGGUGGCGAGUGGCGAACGGGUGAGUAACAUAUCGGAACGUGCCCGGUAGUGGGGGAUAACCCGGCGAAAGUCGGACUAAUACCGCAUACGACCUACGGGUGAAAGCGGGGGAUCGCAAGACCUCGCGCUAUUGGAGCGGCCGAUAUCAGAUUAGCUAGUUGGUGGGGUAAAGGCCUACCAAGGCGACGAUCUGUAGCUGGUCUGAGAGGACGACCAGCCACACUGGGACUGAGACACGGCCCAGACUCCUACGGGAGGCAGCAGUGGGGAAUUUUGGACAAUGGGCGCAAGCCUGAUCCAGCCAUGCCGCGUGCGGGAAGAAGG